rnacentral:rRNA from 1 species
GAUGAACGCUGGCGGCGUGCCUAAUACAUGCAAGUCGAGCGAACAGACGAGGAGCUUGCUCCUCUGACGUUAGCGGCGGAAGGGUGAGUAACACGUGGAUAACCUACCUAUAAGACUGGGAUAACUUCGGGAAACCGGAGCUAAUACCGGAUAAUAUAUUGAACCGCAUGGUUCAAUAGUGAAAGACGGUUUUGCUGUCACUUAUAGAUGGAUCCGCGCCGCAUUAGCUAGUUGGUAAGGUAACGGCUUACCAAGGCGACGAUGCGUAGCCGACCUGAGAGGGUGAUCGGCCACACUGGAACUGGGACACGGUCCAGACUCCUACGGGAGGCAGCAGUAGGGAAUCUUCCGCAAUGGGCGAAAGCUUGACGGAGCAACGCCGCGUGAGUGAUGAAGGUCUUCGGAUCGUAAAACUCUGUUAUUAGGGAAGAACAAAUGUGUAAGUAACUAUGCACGUCUUGACGGUACCUAAUCAGAAAGCCACGGCUAACUACGUG